CGGCUAUAUCACGUUGAAACGCCGGUUCUCGUACGAUCCCCGAUGUUAAGCAACGUCGAGCCUGGUCAGUAACUAGAUGGGUAACCGCUUGGUAAUACCAGGUGCUAU